rnacentral:rRNA from 1 species
UACGUAGGGGGCAAGCGUUGUCCGGAUUUAUUGGGCGUAAAGAGCGUGUAGGCGGCCAGGUAGGUCUGCUGUGAAAACUCGAGGCUUAACCUCGAGCUGUCGGCGGAAACCAUCUGGCUAGAGUCCGGAAGAGGAGAAUGGAAUUCCCGGUGUAGCGGUGAAAUGCGUAGAUAUCGUAAGGAAGACCAGUGGCGAAGGCGGGUCUCUGGACAGUUCCUGACGCUGAGGCACGAAGGUCAGGGGAGCAAACGGG